rnacentral:rRNA from 1 species
UGGACAGAAAGACCCUAUGAAGCUUUACUGUAACUUGAAAUUGAAAUUGGACUUUAGUCGCGCAGCAUAGGUGGGAGGCUUUGAAAAUAUUCUUGCGGGAAUAUUUGAGCUAUCAGUGAGAUACCACUCUUGUAAUGUUAGAUUUCUAACUUUGAACCAUUAUCUGGUCAGAGAACAGUUUCAGGCGGGCAGUUUGACUGGGGCGGUCGCCUCCCAAAUGGUAACGGAGGCGUACAAAGGUUUCCUCUGAACGAAUAGAAAUCGUAUCUAGAGUGUAAAGGCAUAAGGAAGCUUGACUGUGAGACCUACAAGUCGAGCAGGGACGAAAGUCGGUCUUAGUGAUCUGACGGUACUGAGUGGAAAGGCCGUCACUCAACGGAUAAAAGUUACUCUAGGGAUAACAGGCU